CUAUGUUUAGCCUCUUUCCGCAGCUCCCCCCUGCCAGAGAUUAAUUAAAUUGUUUUUUUGGCGUCUCCAUACACUGUGUGAAGAAAUGGGAGGGUGGGUCUUGGCAUGAACUGUGUGUCCUGACCCUGCAACUCAUCUUCCCCCGGGGUCACGAGAUGAGUGCUUGGCACGGGUGAAGGAGCUGCCAGACAGGAACCCUCAUUUUCACUGGAGAUAAGCACCGUGGCUUGCUCUGCUGAGGUGUGCUGGCAUGUCUGCCCUGCUUUCUGGGAAGCCCAUCGUGAUUAAGGGAUAGAUACCUCCGCAAAAAAAAGAGUGGGGGGAGGAAGAGGAGGAUAAAGUCUGAACAGGAAUAGAAAAGUCUUUCACAACGACUCUUAUAUGCCAAAGAGUCUGAUUACAGGCCUGAGGGGUCCCUCACGAGUGCAUCCAUCACCCCCCUCUCACUGCAGAUAUAUCACCGGAGCAGG